GGAACAGAGGAAAGAGGCCAAGGUAAGAGUGCAGAUUAGACAGUGACAAAAGUCUCAAAAGAUGAGGAAGUAGAAGUCAAGAAAAAGAAAAAGAAGGCAGACUUAGAAGCUGUGGGGCUAUAAUUGGCAAGUCUUUACUACUAGCCAUAGAUGUCCCUGCUACACAUAAUGAAGAGCUUUGCUCAUAUUGGCUCAAGUGUCUGUGCCACUGUAUGUUCUAAAAGUGCCCAACCUGAUCUGAUGGGAUAUCUGCCAGUCAGGAAGGCUGCUCUGCUUGGGGUACACAGUGAGGCUGCGGCAAUAUGCUGAAUGUGCACACAGAUCCACUCCAGCCACUAAAGAGAAUAGGAAUGUCUUUGCUGUUCUAUGUGUCUACUUGCAGCUGAUUGCUGGAGUGAAAAGGAGAUUGCAGCUUCAUCAGCAUUAUACAAGGCAGGAGCUGUAUCAAAACUUCCUAAGAAUGGCCAAAGGGACGUCCCUCUUCUUAAGAAAAAGAACAGGAAAGAAAAGGGAUUUUGUUUAUCUGGAAUGCUUCUCCCUAAAAUGAAGAGAUACUUUCUUGCAGUUCUUGACUUUCCCCCUGCAA